UGGGGUAUCGCCAAGCGGUAAGGCACCGGGUUUUGAUCCCGGCAUUCCUAGGUUCGAAUCCUAGUACCCCAGCCA
rnacentral:tRNA from 6 species